ACUUAGGCAGCGGUUAAACCUUUUAUUAAAUCCAGUGCAGGUGAGGUGAAGCUCCUUAGCUACUCACGGUUCUUUUAGCAUCCAUCUUGUGAAUAGUUCUUGCUCUCUCUAUUUAUCUAUCAGUAGUGCUACUCACGGUUCUUUUAGCAUCCAUCUUAUGGAUAAUUCUUGCUCUCUCUAUUUAUCAAUCGGUAGUAAUGUGUUAAUCAGUGCAACAAUUACAUUUUGAGGAAUGUUACCACCAUAGGUGGUUAGUUAAUUCACCUGUCCUUUAACUGGCUUAGAGGGCUUGCGCUUGUAGCUGCUAAAAAGAUUCUAUGAGCCUUAUUUUAUCUGCCAACAUGCUUUUGAAAGUGUUGUAACAUAUUCCUUGGAUAAUUGUAAAUGUACCGCCUAAUAAUGUUUCAUUAUCAACGAUUGGCUUGUUUUUUAUUUUUUGAAAAGGUAACAUAUUUGUAUUAAGUAUAAAAUUGGUUAUACUAAAUCAGUGUAACCAUCCAGUAAUUACAAUGAAAGUACCAGAGGAGAGGAGAUAACUACAUCAGUAAGACUCACAAUUGGUCUAAAA
rnacentral:lncRNA from 1 species